AUCACGUUGAAACGUGAGUUCUCAUAUGAACACCGAAGUUAAUUAACGUCGAGCCUGGUCAGUACUUAGAUGGGUGACCGCUUGUGAAUAUCAGGUGCCGUAAG